rnacentral:ribozyme from 1 species
AAUUCAGCAACUCCUAUCCCUACCUCCUCGUGGUACCGACCGGAAACUAUGAGCAACCUUAGGGAAGAUCGGGUAAUCAACCCCGGUGGGAACUUUGGUCAUAGACUGACAGGGAAAG